UACGUAGGGGGCUAGCGUUAUCCGGAUUUACUGGGCGUAAAGGGUGCGUAGGUGGUUUCUUAAGUCAGAGGUGAAAGGCUACGGCUCAACCGUAGUAAGCCUUUGAAACUGGGAAACUUGAGUGCAGGAGAGGAGAGUGGAAUUCCAUGUGUAGCGGUGAAAUGCGUAGAUAUCGGGAGGAACACCGGUGGCGAAGGCGGCUUUCUGGCCAGUUACUGACGCUCAUGCGCGAAAGCUGGGGUAGCGAACCGGAUUAGAUAUCCCUGUAGUCCCUGAGCGGG
rnacentral:rRNA from 1 species